CUGUUUCAUAUAACAAAGGUUUAGGGCUCUAGUAAACUUUAAAGCAAUAAAUUUUUCAUCCCUUAAUUCACUUUACAGAAUGGGAAAUUGUUGGUGAUCGCUGGCUUGGUUGCUUGGUUGUACUUUUAGUAGACAUACUUAUAGACAGAUGUAACUUCAGAUAGAUGUACUUUUAGUGGAUGUACUUUUUAGUGGAUAAAAUAAAAUUUAACUAAAAUAGGGCCUGGACUAUGCAAAGGUUCAUUAUCAGCUUUAACAUUUCUAAAAGAUAUUUUUAAAUUUAUUUUUCCUAUAUCUGUAACAGUACCAAAUAUUCAAAUGAGAGCUUUGAAGGCCAAAGUGGAGCGGGGUUCCAUGUGAACAGCAGUUGAAUAUGAGUCACUCAGUCCUAACUGAUAGGCAAACACCAUUCCAAAAGGGCAGGCAAUGGGCUCCGUUGCCCUCAACCGAUCCAAAGGGAGUUGGGUUCAGAUUCCUGAAUCCAGAGUGGCGGAGAUGGGCACCACGAGGCAUCCAGUGCAGCGACAUAACUAAUCCCGGAGAAGCCAGCGGGAGUCCUGGGGAGAGUUCUCUUUUUUUUGUGAAGGGCCAGGCGCCCUGGAAUGGGUUCGCCCCGAGAGAGGGGCCUGCGCCUUGGAAAGCGUCGUGGUUCUGGCGGCAUCUGGUGAGCUCUUGCUGACCUGUGAAAAUCCAGGGGAGAGGGUGUAAAUCUCGUGCAGGGCCAUACCCAUGUCUGCAGCAGGUCUCCAAGGUGAACAGCCUCUGGCAUGUUGGAACAAUGUAGGUAAGGAAGGUCAGCAAGCCAAAUCCAUAACUUCAGGAUAAGGAUUGGCUCUUGUUUGGUUUAGUGGGACAGAAUUUUAGAGUUAAUCUACUCUUGAGAAAAACUGCAGUUUUGUAAGCAUUACAACACUAUUACAUGGGAACAAAGUUGAAAAAAAGCUUGUUAUAGGGUUCAGAUAAUACUGGUGUGCAGGUUGCCAUAGUGCUCAAGGUCUUCAUGGUCUUGAGAUAAACAGUUACAGUGUCUGGGAGGAGUGGAAACCUAGAGCAGUUGACCCCAAGGUGACCACAAGCUGACCAAUUAGUACUAUUCAUACCAUCUCAAGGCAUAUCAAGGAUAAGGGGGU
rnacentral:ncRNA from 1 species